GAAAUGCGAUAAGUAAUGUGAAUUGCAGAAUUCAGUGAAUCAUCGAAUCUUUGAACGCACCUUGCGCUCCUUGGUAUUCCUUGGAGCAUGCCUGUUUGAGUAUCAUGAAAUCUUCAAAGUAAAUCUUUUGUUAACUCAAUUGGUUUCUACUUUGGUAUUGGAGGUCUUUGCAGCUUCACACCUGCUCCUCUUUGUUCAUUAGCUGGAUCUCAGUGUUAUGCUUGGUUCCACUCGGCGUGAUAAGUUAUCUAUCGCUGAGGACACUGUAAAAGGUGGCCAAGGUAAAUGCAGAUGAACCGCUUCUAAUAGUCCAUUGACUUGGACAAUACUUUUAUGAUCUGAUCUCAAAUCAGGUAGAACUACCCGCUGAACAUAAGC
rnacentral:misc_RNA from 1 species